UUUUUUCCCAUUAUUUUCUCUUUGGGGAGGGAGGGAUUGGAUCAAUUUUACCAGCACGUUGCUCUAUUGUAUUAAAUACAAAUGGACAUCUCAGCAAGCAUUCAGGUGCCGACUAAUGAAUGCAGAAAGGUGCAGGUACUUCAGAACCUCAAAAAACUAAUUUUUAAAUAACUCGUAUCUUGGUUCCUCUUAAUGGUCAGACCUUCUCUGACGAGGGGCCACCUACAAUCUUAGGUAACAAAAUGCUGCAAACUUUGUAGUAAGUUGAAGACUGUUACAUAAAGAUACACCUUCCACAAACAGGAUUCUCUCUUUACAACCAUUAUCACCCUCUUCUACUAUCUUCUAGACCGUAUGCUCCAAAAAUAACCAUCAGUGGUGUCUUUUUACGGAUCUAACGGGUGUCUUUGUAACGUAGACAAAUUGGGAAGAGGCUGCUCUCCUGUAGGAGAGUAAGCGCUAUCUAGAUGGUCCUACGUGUGGGCAGAACAGACCCUGGAUUGUAAAUUCAGCAUGUAGCAAACUGUUGGAUCGCGAUGGAACUACUCAGGUAUCCAUUAAAAAUCGCAAAGGAUGCUUUUUCCAAUGCUGAGCAUUGCUGGAGGAAUUGGGUACAGAGAAAGACCUGGUCUAUCUACUGACUGUGAAACUGGAUUUGUGGAGAAAAAGAAUUAAGAUUUUCUGGUGUGCAUAAGGCAAGUUUUAUAUGCAAACAUCCAUAAAUGAAAUCAUAGUAGUAUUGUACAUAGGAGAGAAUAAGGUUUCUGAAAUCAGCCGUCUACACUUGCACCAGAUUGUCAAGCUAUUUUGUCAAUGCCAAUACUUUUGCUACACUCAGUGGUCCAUGGGAUUAGCAACCCUUCAGCUUUAACAACAUAGGUUUGUGUGUACAACAUGAGCUAAAGUCACCGUGGCCUGGAUUACAUUUGGCAAAACUGGUAUUCAUCAUAAUGAUGGUUUGUAAGAUUAUCUUUCUCUGUAUCCCGAGAUAAAAGACCUAGAUUGGUGCAUAUGCAGAAAUCUACUAGGUGUACCAUUAAUGUUGCUCAAAUCUGUGAAUGUUUCUGAUGCUGCUGAUUCUCAAAACUUCGAUAUAAUUUUUUUUUCUGUCAUCUGGAAAACAAAGCAAUUUUUAGUUUUUUUGGUUUUUAAAACACACACGAAUUCAGUUGAUGUGGCUUCCAAGGUCUCUCUCUAUUCAAGUGCAGAACGCUCGUGUGACCUAUGCAGCAGUUGUCUACCUAGCAUGUCGAAGAGGUCAAUGGAAAAGAUAAAGAAAAGAAAAAACUAAACGGAAAAAUAAAAGUCAUGACCAUAGACCACCUCAAACCAGAAA